UACGAAGGGGGCUAGCGUUGCUCGGAAUCACUGGGCGUAAAGGGUGCGUAGGCGGGUCUUUAAGUCAGGGGUGAAAUCCUGGAGCUCAACUCCAGAACUGCCUUUGAUACUGAAGAUCUUGAGUUCGGGAGAGGUGAGUGGAACUGCGAGUGUAGAGGUGAAAUUCGUAGAUAUUCGCAAGAACACCAGUGGCGAAGGCGGCUCACUGGCCCGAUACUGACGCUGAGGCACGAAAGCGUGGGUAGCAACAGGG
rnacentral:rRNA from 1 species